rnacentral:rRNA from 1 species
UACGGAGGAUCCGAGCGUUAUCCGGAUUCAUUGGGUUUAAAGGGUGCGCAGGUUGUUUUAUAAGUUAGCGGUGAAAUACCGAUGCUCAACAUCGGGGCUGCCGCUGAUACUGUAGGACUAGAGAUCGGAUGCAGCAGGCGGAAUGUGUAGUGUAGCGGUGAAAUGCAUAGAUAUUACACAGAACACCGAUUGCGAAGGCAGCUUGCUAGGCCGGAUCUGACACUGAUGCACGAAAGCGUGGGGAUCGAACAGG